UUUUUCUUGUCGGAGUGCCACUCUUUUACACCCACGCUUUCUGAAAGCUGACGUGUAAAAAGGCUGAGACCGUUAAUUCGGGAUCCGCGGAACCUGAUCAGGCUAAUACCUGCGAAGGGAACAAGAGUAAUCCAUCC
rnacentral:ncRNA from 2 species